rnacentral:sRNA from 1 species
CGGAGAUGCCUGUCAGAAUGAAGACCAUGACUCCAGUAACUCUCUGCUCCCUGGCGGAAACGAACGCACAGUCAGAGUCAAUGCUCCCCUGACAAGGUUUGUCCAUGUGUGAGCUUUCUUUGGAGUGCACACCAGGGUGUGGACGUGUGGACGUGUGGACAUGAUGGUCUGAAGAUGUCAUCGUCGUCGUCAGCCUCAUCUCAGGGAGCACAGCAUCCUGUACCACUUGGUUGACUCCUGACCAGCACCUUUCAUCUCCACUACCUGGUGUUCAACUCUAGGUUCACCAGCCUCAUGAAUACCAGUCAGCAUAGCCGUGUGUGUGUGUUUGUGUGUGUGUGUGUGUGUGUGUGUGUGUGUGUGUGUGUGUGCCACAGCUCAUGCGUGUGGAGGCUGGAUGGAGGAUAGCUUGUGGGAGAGGGUUCUCUCCUUGUACCAUGUGGGUCCCAGGGAUGAAACCCUGACUUGGUGGCAAGCACCUUUACCUGCUAAGCCAUCUCAUGGGUUCCUAAUUUUGGUCAAAUUAAACUCAACUUCAGCUAGA